GCGAGAGUGGCGGAACUGGCAGACGCGCACGUUUGAGGGGCGUGUGGAUAACACCGUACGGGUUCAAGUCCCGUUUCUCGCACCA
rnacentral:tRNA from 1 species